rnacentral:rRNA from 1 species
UAGGGAAUCUUCCGCAAUGGGCGAAAGCUUGACGGAGCAACGCCGCGUGAGUGAUGAAGGUCUUCGGAUCGUAAAACUCUGUUAUUAGGGAAGAACAAAUGUGUAAGUAACUAUGCACGUCUUGACGGUACCUAAUCAGAAAGCCACGGCUAACUACGUGCCAGCAGCCGCGGUAAUACGUAGGUGGCAAGCGUUAUCCGGAAUUAUUGGGCGUAAAGCGCGCGUAGGCGGUUUUUUAAGUCUGAUGUGAAAACCCACGGCUCAACCGUGGAGGGUCAUUGGAAACUGGAAAACUUGAGUGCAGAAGAGGAAAGUGGAAUUCCAUGUGUAGCGGUGAAAUGCGCAGAGAUAUGGAGGAACACCAGUGGCGAAGGCGACUUUCUGGUCUGUAACUGACGCUGAUGUGCGAAAGCGUGGGGAUCAAACAGG